CCUACGGGCGGCAGCAGUGGGGAAUAUUGCACAAUGGGCGCAAGCCUGAUGCAGCCAUGCCGCGUGUGUGAAGAAGGCCUUCGGGUUGUAAAGCACUUUCAGCGGGGAGGAAGGCGGUGAUGUUAAUAACCUCAUCGAUUGACGUUACCCGCAGAAGAAGCACCGGCUAACUCCGUGCCAGCAGCCGCGGUAAUACGGAGGGUGCAAGCGUUAAUCGGAAUUACUGGGCGUAAAGCGCACGCAGGCGGUCUGUCAAGUCGGAUGUGAAAUCCCCGGGCUCAACCUGGGAACUGCAUUCGAAACUGGCAGGCUAGAGUCUUGUAGAGGGGGGUAGAAUUCCAGGUGUAGCGGUGAAAUGCGUAGAGAUCUGGAGGAAUACCGGUGGCGAAGGCGGCCCCCUGGACAAAGACUGACGCUCAGGUGCGAAAGCGUGGGGAGCAAACAGGAUUAGAUACCCGAGUAGUC
rnacentral:rRNA from 1 species